rnacentral:lncRNA from 1 species
CUCAGAAGUUACUGAAGAAAGUCGAGGACUCCUUUCAAAGAUCCUUCCUUAAAAAGCAAGUGUGGUUUGUGUUUGUCUGUAAAAAGGACUGAUGUGAUGAGUUGCUAAAUGCUAGAGACUUCUCAGAUUGUGCCUUUAGAGGGAAAGACAGACACAUCUUAAAUAGGAACUUUCCACAUUCUUGGACCCCUCUCCCCGCCUCGACCCGCGACCCUGGCUAGCACGUCCUCAGGACCCCGCAGAUACCGCGUUUGGAAGGGGAAAAGUCCUAAGAAGAAGCUACGAAGGCAAAGAAAGUUAAGUUCUCAGUGCACAGUAGACCAAAGAAAGGGAACCGGAGGAAAGCCAGCCCCGCCCUGGGACGGCAGAGGCUACAUUCCUACAUCUGCAAGCCGCUUCCUAUC